rnacentral:rRNA from 2 species
UUUCGAAAGGAACGCUAAUACCGCAUACGUCCUACGGGAGAAAGUGGGGGAUCUUCGGACCUCACGCUAUCAGAUGAGCCUAGGUCGGAUUAGCUAGUUGGUGAGGUAAAGGCUCACCAAGGCGACGAUCCGUAACUGGUCUGAGAGGAUGAUCAGUCACACUGGAACUGAGACACGGUCCAGACUCCUACGGGAGGCAGCAGUGGGGAAUAUUGGACAAUGGGCGAAAGCCUGAUCCAGCCAUGCCGCGUGUGUGAAGAAGGUCUUCGGAUUGUAAAGCACUUUAAGUUGGGAGGAAGGGCAGUAAGUUAAUACCUUGCUGUUUUGACGUUACCAACAGAAUAAGCACCGGCUAACUUCGUGCCAGCAGCCGCGGUAAUACGAAGGGUGCAAGCGUUAAUCGGAAUUACUGGGCGUAAAGCGCGCGUAGGUGGUUCGUUAAGUUGGAUGUGAAAGCCCCGGGCUCAACCUGGGAACUGCAUCCAAAACUGGCGAGCUAGAGUAUGGCAGAGGGUGGUGGAAUUUCCUGUGUAGCGGUGAAAU